GAUGAAGAACGCAGCGAAAUGCGAUAAGUAGUGUGAAUUGCAGAAUUCAGUGAAUCAUCGAAUCUUUGAACGCACAUUGCGCCCUUUGGUAUUCCAAAGGGCAUGCCUGUUCGAGCGUCAUUUGUACCCUCAAGCUUUGCUUGGUGUUGGGCGUCCUGUCUCUAGCUUUGCUGGAGACUCGCCUUAAAGUAAUUGGCAGCCGGCCUACUGGUUUCGGAGCGCAGCACAAGUCGCACUCUCUAUCAGCAAAGGUCUAGCAUCCAUUAAGCCUUUUUUUCAACUUUUGACCUCGGAUCAGGUAGGGAUACCCGCUGAACUUAAGCAUAUCAAUAAGCGGAGGA
rnacentral:misc_RNA from 1 species